ensembl:lncRNA
AGAUUGAAAGUGAUGACUUGCUGGUGACUGAUCUCAGCUGAUGGGGGAAAAAAUGACUCCUCGGUGAACUGGGCCAGCUCCCAGAAAAAGAAUCCAUUGCUUUGGAAAAGAGAUUAAUGAAGUACAUUCAGCAGAUCUGCUGGCCAGUGGACAGCAGUUUGUACUGCAGCCACCGGAUGAGGCGUUUUGUUGUGUCACCGGAUUAUUUAUAUCUUCCGUUGACCAGCACGUUGGUUUCCCUAAAGCAGACGUGUUUCUCUCUCCCUGUUACUGCCCAUGCAGAAGGCUUGGAAGGCAUAGACGAAAGUGGGACUGCAAGUUUAGCUCAAGACUAAACUUUCCCAAAUGUGGAUGCCUUGCAAGUCUGGAAAACAAAUCAAAAUACUGUAUGGAUCAUUGAGCAGUGGGAAUGGAGUAAUCUUCCUUCUCUGCUGAUCUGUGACAUGAGGUGGUGAAAAAGGUGAAAAAAUGAGCAGCAAGUGAGGAGAUCAAUAUCAGUAUUUUCAGAUCUGACUCCUUCGUGGUUGCUCCAGGGAAAGUGUGGGCCUCCAAUGGCAUGUGCAGAAGCAGCCAUCUUCAGAGAGGCAGCCAUGAGGAAAUAUACACAGAAGUUUUAAGCAUCAGCCUAGAGGAGACUGAGAAAGAAGCAUGAGCUCAAACUGUGACUAGACCUAAUCUUUCCAAGGAGCAGAUGGCCACGGCUUUGCCUCCUCCCUCCUCUGCACCAAAUGGAGUUUGGGGACAACGUUUGGAGAUGCUGCAAUUUAAAGCAGAAGACUGUUAUUUCAGACUUACAAUGUGAUUUUCAGUAGCAUAACUCUGGAAUUGAGCAGAUUCUAGAGUACUUCAGAUGCCAAAUGACUUUCCAGGAGUCAGAAAACAAAGCAGCAGCUGUGUUGCCACAACUACAGCACAACUGGUACUUUGGAAAAGCCACUGGUACCAAAGAACCUGCCUUUGUUAAGAAGAUUUUAAAACUCACCUCUUGAGUCUCUCAACAUAUGGUACUCAGAAGAGCUUUAAAGGUUAAGAGCUACCCAAACAAAAUAUUCACUGUCCAGUAGCCCUGGAGCUCAUUACCCUUAAGUACUGCAGUGUUUAUAGGCAUGCUGAGGAGGCAAAGGAGAUGAAAUGUACUUCUGCCUUCAAAAGGGGAAUUAAUGUAUUACCAUUCAUUCCUUUUAUAGAUAAUAUUGCUAUUUAGGAAGUGCUAAAGUACAUGAUGUCUUUACUGAUUAAAUUUCCUGUGUAAGCAAGAUGUUCAUAAAGUUACAUAACUGCAUUUUUCUUCCUACUUCAUUGCUGGCAGCUUCAGUACAGGCUUCUCAAGUAUUGUAGGCUUUGCUCUGUCAUCACCUCUGAGAGAUCUGAUAGCAAGGAGAAAAGAGCAGAGGGAGAGCAGGGGAAUUGCAAAUUGAGAAGGUGUGUGUCACAUUCUUUCUAUUUGUUCUGAGAUGUACAUAGAAACUAUGCUGAAAGCCUUUUGCUCCAGGAAUCAGAAAAAGCCGUUCUUAUGCCCCAUUCUGCCUCUUAAGGAAUCAGCAGCAGUCCUCUUUCAGCAGAUACAGAAAGGGUCAGUCUCCUAUUCAGUGUAAGCUUUUCUCUGAAGUGCAAUUUGUCUUAGUUCUGGCAGCAAUUAGCAUUUUUUUUCUCAGUGUAUGUGGGGGACUUGCUCCAGAUAAUUUACAAACAUCAGGAGAAAGAAGGGAGUUGGUGCUGUUUUUGAGUUCCCAUCAGCUCUUCUUUUUUGUUGCUGAGAAAUAAGAUUGGUGUUUUAUUCCUGAUGAGCACAAAUAUUUGUCCAAAGUAACUCAAAUUGUUUAUGAACUUGACUCCAUUCAAACAUUUCUUUUUAAGGCACUGUGUGAAAUCUCUUGUUUCUUCCAUGAUGAAUAUUUAUCAUCAGGUCAUGUGAAUGUUUUGGCUGACCAAAGGAUGGAGUAUUCUGUUUUGCUUGCUUGGGUUGUGAAACAGGAAUAUCUGUAACAUGACAGGGCAUGAAAGAGCCUGAAAUGAAUUAAGGCUCUUCUUUGAUGAAUGGGCUUUUCAUUUAGUUUAUUUGUUAUAAACAACUGUGGUAAAUCCACUUUCAGUAAAUCCAAAGGAUGGUUGACGCAUACAUUUCAUAGGGAUGUGUGGCGGCAGACUAGAACUGAUGAUACAUCAUUCCAGAUGGGCUUUUUAUUUUUAUUUUUCUAUUUAUUUUUUGAUAUGUCAUUCCAGAUGGAAUUCCAGAUUCUGCAGAUGAGUCUUUUUGUUAUCAUAUUUCAGCUGAAAGAACUGCUCUGCUGUAGAACUGAUACGGUAUGUACUGUGUUUAAUCUGACUAUCUCAGCUCAGAACCUGGAAGGAUGAGUAUAUUCUCAAGAUGGAUACUUCAGGAGUCUUCUAACCAAUGUGAAUCACUUAGUCUUUACCAUGAAGGGGACAGGUUUCUUCCUGCAAAAUUUCUUGCUAAAUUGGACUGAAGUAAAUGAACCAACAGAUAUUCCAUGCUGAGUGUGGAAGUCCUGAGCAGGCAUUUACAAAUAAAACAUAUGAUUAUGCCCAGUG